GCAGGCGCGAAACUUUACAAUGCGGGAAACCGUGAUAAGGGAACACCGAGUGCCAGCAUCAUAUGCUGGCUGUCCAGAUGUGUAAACUACAUCUGUUAGCAAGGGCCGGGCAAGACCGGUGCCAGCCGCCGCGGUAACACCGGCGGCCCGAGUGGUGACCGUUAUUAUUGGGUCUAAAGGGUCCGUAGCCGGUUUGGUCAGUCCUCCGGGAAAUCUGAUAGCUUAACUGUUAGGCUUUCGGGGGAUACUGCCAGGCUUGGAACCGGGAGAGGUAAGAGGUACUACAGGGGUAGGAGUGAAAUCUUGUAAUCCCUGUGAGACCACCUGUGGCGAAGGCGUCUUACCAGAACGGGUUCGACGGUGAGGGACGAAAGCUGGGGGCACGAACCGGAUUAGAUACCCGGGUAGUCCCAGCCGUAAACUAUGCUCGCUAGGUGUCAGGCAUGGCGCGACCGUGUCUGGUGCCGCAGGGAAGCCGUGAAGCGAGCCACCUGGGAAGUACGGCCGCAAGGCUGAAACUUAAAGGAAUUGGCGGGGGAGCACAACAACGGGUGGAGCCUGCGGUUUAAUUGGACUCAACGCCGGACAACUCACCGGGAACGAC
rnacentral:rRNA from 1 species